rnacentral:rRNA from 1 species
GAUGAACGCUGGCGGCGUGCCUAAUACAUGCAAGUCGAGCGAACAGACGAGGACCUUGCCCCUCUCCCUUUCGCGCCGACCGGGUGAUUACCCCGUGGAAACCCUCCUUUUAAACCGGGGAUACCUUGGGAAACCGGGCCCUAAUCCCGGAUAAUAUUUUAACCCCCUUGGUCCAAUAGUAAAGACGGUUUUUCCUUCCCUUUAUCAUGGGUCCCGCGCCGCAUUAGCUAGUUGGUAAGGUAACGGCUUACCAAGGCAACGAUGCGUAGCCGACCUGAGAGGGUGAUCGGCCACACUGGAACUGAGACACGGUCCAGACUCCUACGGGAGGCAGCAGUAGGGAAUCUUCCGCAAUGGGCGAAAGCCUGACGGAGCAACGCCGCGUGAGUGAUGAAGGUCUUCGGAUCGUAAAACUCUGUUAUUAGGGAAGAACAAAUGUGUAAGUAACUAUGCACGUCUUGACGGUACCUAAUCAGAAAGCCACGGCUAACUACGUG